UUCGGUAGAUAGAUCUACACCCUGGCAGAGCAUGCGAUUUAACUGAUCCAAAAUUUGUCGGGUCCUGCCCUUCCUUUGGAUUCAUCAGGAUUACAUGUCCAAGGCUACAACAGUGAUAGAUAGUGACAUUAAACAAGGCGGAACAUUUUUUUUCAAGGUGAAGACGCGACCAUGGGUAUGGCACAAAGUAGUUCUUCAACAGACUCCAAGACAAGAGCCAGGGAGUUG
rnacentral:sRNA from 1 species